rnacentral:rRNA from 1 species
AGAGUUUGAUCCUGGCUCAGGACGAACGCUGGCGGCGCGCCUAACACAUGCAAGUCGAACGAGCGAGAGAGAGCUUGCUUUCUCGAGCGAGUGGCGAACGGGUGAGUAACGCGUGAGGAACCUGCCUCAAAGAGGGGGACAACAGUUGGAAACGACUGCUAAUACCGCAUAAGCUCACGGCUCGGCAUCGAGCAGAGGGAAAAGGAGCAAUCCGCUUUGAGAUGGCCUCGCGUCCGAUUAGCUAGUUGGUGAGGUAAUGGCUCACCAAGGCGACGAUCGGUAGCCGGACUGAGAGGUUGAACGGCCACAUUGGGACUGAGACACGGCCCAGACUCCUACGGGAGGCAGCAGUGGGGAAUAUUGCACAAUGGGGGAAACCCUGAUGCAGCGACGCCGCGUGGAGGAAGAAGGUCUUCGGAUUGUAAACUCCUGUUGUUGGGGAAGAUAAUGACGGUACCCAACAAGGAAGUGACGGCUAACUACGUGCCAGCAGCCGCGGUAAAACGUAGGUCACAAGCGUUGUCCGGAAUUACUGGGUGUAAAGGGAGCGCAGGCGGGAAGACAAGUUGGAAGUGAAAUCUAUGGGCUCAACCCAUAAACUGCUUUCAAAACUGUUUUUCUUGAGUAGUGCAGAGGUAGGCGGAAUUCCCGGUGUAGCGGUGGAAUGCGUAGAUAUCGGGAGGAACACCAGUGGCGAAGGCGGCCUACUGGGCACCAACUGACGCGGAGGCUCGAAAGUGUGGGUAGCAAACAGGAUUAGAUACCCUGGUAGUCCACACCGUAAACGAUGAUUACUAGGUGUUGGAGGAUUGACCCCUUCAGUGCCGCAGUUAACACAAUAAGUAAUCCACCUGGGGAGUACGACCGCAAGGUUGAAACUCAAAGGAAUUGACGGGGGCCCGCACAAGCAGUGGAGUAUGUGGUUUAAUUCGACGCAACGCGAAGAACCUUACCAUGUCUUGACAUCCCUUGACAGACAUAGAAAUAUGUAUUCUCUUCGGAGCAAGGAGACAGGUGGUGCAUGGUUGUCGUCAGCUCGUGUCGUGAGAUGUUGGGUUAAGUCCCGCAACGAGCGCAACCCUUAUGGUCAGUUACUACGCAAGAGGACUCUGGCCAGACUGCCGUUGACAAAACGGAGGAAGGUGGGGAUGACGUCAAAUCAUCAUGCCCUUUAUGACUUGGGCUACACACGUACUACAAUGGCGUUAAACAAAGAGAAGCAAGACCGCGAGGUGGAGCAAAACUCAGAAACAACGUCCCAGUUCGGACUGCAGGCUGCAACUCGCCUGCACGAAGUCGGAAUUGCUAGUAAUCGUGGAUCAGCAUGCCACGGUGAAUACGUUCCCGGGCCUUGUACACACCGCCCGUCACACCAUGAGAGCCGGGGGGACCCGAAGUCGGUAGUCUAACCG